UACGAAGGGGGCUAGCGUUGCUCGGAAUCACUGGGCGUAAAGCGCACGUAGGCGGCUUUCUAAGUCAGGGGUGAAAUCCUGGAGCUCAACUCCAGAACUGCCUUUGAUACUGAGGAGCUUGAGUCCGGGAGAGGUGAGUGGAACUGCGAGUGUAGAGGUGAAAUUCGUAGAUAUUCGCAAGAACACCAGUGGCGAAGGCGGCUCACUGGCCCGAUACUGACGCUGAGGCACGAAAGCGUGGGGAGCAAACAGG
rnacentral:rRNA from 1 species